rnacentral:rRNA from 1 species
UACGUAGGGUCCGAGCGUUGUCCGGAGUUACUGGGCGUAAAGGGCGCGCAGGCGGCGGUGCUGGCCCGGCGUGAAAGCCCCCGGCUCAACCGGGGAGGGUCGUCGGGGACCGCACCGCUUGAGGGCGGUAGGGGCUGGUGGAAUGCCUGGUGUAGUGGUGAAAUGCGUAGAGAUCAGGCGGAACACCCGUGGCGAAGGCGGCCAGCUGGGCCGACCCUGACGCUGAGGCGCGAAGGUCAGGGGAGCAAACGGG